UAUCUCACCAAGAGAAAGUGGGUACUGGGCUUUUCAUUUGUGAUAUGGAGAUUAUAAGACCUACCCUGCCUACCCCAGAAUGAUGGUGAAGUGCAAAUGGAUGAUCGUGCAUCAACAGCAAGCAGCUCUCAUUACUAUUGUGGAACUGCAGAAACGCCCUUAUGAAUUAAAGACUAAAGCUCUUCAUGGACAAGAUGGUGCUUAUUCACUAUUGAAUCAAUAGUGCCUCCCACAUAUUAGCACUCAGAAUAAAUUUAUUGACUUUAUAAAUGAAAUACAUAUUUCCUUCUUUCAAAUCAAGGUGCCAUUAUUUGAACAGACCAGAGCAGUAGCAGCUGAUAGUGAAACAAUUUGAAAAAAGGACAUGGACCAUUGAAUUUUUGCAGUUUUAGCUAUAUUCAGGGAAUGUUUCUGGACCAAGGUGCUUACACAACUUUGGGCAUGCAAAGAUGAGCUCCCAUCAGGACAUUACAUACACGUUUCCAACUCCCUUCAGAUGUACUGGAAACAUUCCGUCAUUGAGGGGGAUUUUCCCUUGGGCCUUUAUUUCUCAUCAGUAAUAUCCUCAUUGCAAAAGAAUCCUCAGCCAUUUGACUGACUACUCCUGGGGCUUGCUCCAACACUAUAUCUUCCCAUAGAUGGACACGGCCAUGUGUACAAACUCCCCAGACGCAUCAUGCUAGCUUGUUAAGGGUUUGUCUGGUGUUUUACGGGGCAUUAUUGCCAAAAUGAAGGUUAAAGAUACCAGUGUAAUGAAUAUUACUAAUGCCAGCUGGGCGCAGUGGCUCAUGCCUGUAAUUCCAACACUUUGGGAGGCCGAGGUGGGCGGAUCACUUGAGGUCAGGAGUUUGAGACUAGCCUGGCCAACAUGGUGAAACCCCGUCUCUACUUAAAAAAAUAUAAAAGUUAGCCGGGCAUGGUGGCACAUGCCUGUAAUCCCAGCUACUCGGGAGGCUGAGGCACAAGAAUCGCUUGAACCUGGGAGGUGGAGGUUGCAAUGAGCUGAGAUCGUGCCAAUGCACUCCAGCCUAGGCAACAGGGGUG
rnacentral:lncRNA from 10 species